rnacentral:rRNA from 1 species
ACGAACGCUGGCGGCGUGCUUAACACAUGCAAGUCGAACGGAAAGGCCCUGCUUGCAGGGUACUCGAGUGGCGAACGGGUGAGUAACACGUGGGUGAUCUGCCCUGCACUUCGGGAUAAGCCUGGGAAACUGGGUCUAAUACCGGAUAGGAGCCAUUUUUAGUGUGAUGGUUUGAAAGUUUUUUCGGUGUAGGAUGAGCUCGCGGCCUAUCAGCUUGUUGGUGGGGUAAUGGCCUACCAAGGCGGCGACGGGUAGCCGGCCUGAGAGGGUGGACGGCCACAUUGGGACUGAGAUACGGCCCAGACUCCUACGGGAGGCAGCAGUGGGGAAUAUUGCACAAUGGGCGCAAGCCUGAUGCAGCGACGCCGCGUGGGGGAUGACGGCCUUCGGGUUGUAAACUCCUUUCGCUAGGGACGAAGCUUUUUGUGACGGUACCUAGAUAAGAAGCACCGGCUAACUACGUG